AAUUGGACAAGUCUUGAGUGGAGUACAUGUUGGCCCUGCUAGUCCUGCUGUUGGUGUUGGACCAGCAACUGGGCUCUAAUUCCAUUUAAUGGUAAAAAAACAUUAAUUUUUUUACUAUUUUAUAUAUUAUGUACUGCAUAUGUAUAUAUAUUUAUUUAGUGUAAUUUUACGUACUGCAGGAGUGACUUUUUUUGGGAUAUUUUGAAGUCAAAUGUGACUUGUACUACACAGCACAUGCCUACGGUUUUUGAUAAUGAAGUCGAUGUGGAACCUGGUAGUUUUGCUUGGCUCCAUGGUGUUGGCUUUGCUUGUUAAACUGGUUUACGCUUACAUAUUGGUAUGUCCAUGGCUAACUGAUAUGUUAUAAACUUGAUGCAUACUGACAUUGUUAUAUUUGAUAUAUAUUGUUACGUUAUUAGAUUUGGUGCAUUAUGACAUUGUCAAAUUUGAUAUGUACUUCUCUGUUAGAUAAUUUGAUGCAUAAUGUUCUGUUAGAUAAAAUGAUGCAUAUUGACAUUGUUAAAUUUGAUAUAUACUGUUAUGUUAUUGAGUUUACUUUGUUCAUUUAAAUUGAGCUUCAUCUACAUGGUUAUUGUUAGGAUUAAUAUGUGAAUUGAAGCUAUCACCUAAUGGUGUGCAUUAGAGACACAUGAUGUGCAUCAAAGCACAUUGAUUGGCCACGUAGAAGAGGUGCAUCAGCUAUCAUCCAAUGCUUGUUUACAUUAUCAUUGAACUCCAUUCUGAUUGUGCAAAAAGCAGGUCGGUGUUUUUACGUUUGUUCUAUUAUUAUUUUUUUCAAAUUAUUUUGAUGCUUAAUAAAAAGCUUUACUUUUUUUCUUUCUCUUUUUUCAGACCUUACUGCAGAGUUACACCAUGUUGAGCAUCAGCAUACUGCAGUUUUCAUAUUCAACAUUGAAGAUGACUAAUUAUUUUAAUCUUACAUUUGGAUGAUUGUACUAUAAUACACUUAAUACUUGUGACUUAGUUUAAAUACAUGUUGGUUGUGCUGUGCUAGUUUGUAAUGUGCUUUGAAUUGAUGCAAGCAUAUUACAAUAGUAUUAAUGGCCUCGACCCCAAAGCGGUGUUCCAUAAUUAUUAAGGAAUGGCC
rnacentral:lncRNA from 1 species